rnacentral:tRNA from 1 species
GAGGGUGUAGCUCAGGGUUAGAGCACCUGCUUAGCAGGUGGUAGUUCCUGAGUUCAAUCCCCAGUACCUCCU